rnacentral:rRNA from 1 species
AUUGAACGCUGGCGGCAGGCCUAACACAUGCAAGUCGAACGAGUGGCGGACGGGUGAGUAAUGUCUGGGAAACUGCCUGAUGGAGGGGGAUAACUACUGGAAACGGUAGCUAAUACCGCAUAACACCAGAUGUGCCCAGAUGGGAUUAGCUUGUUGGUGGGCUAACGGCUAACCAAGGCGACGAUCCCUAGCUGGUCUGAGAGGAUGACCAGCCACACGGGAACGGAGACACGGUCCAGACUCCUCCGGGAGGCAGCAGUGGGGAAUAUUGCACAAUGGGCGAAAGCCUGAUGGAGCCAUGCCGCGUGUAUGAAGAAGGUUUUCGGGGUGUAAAGUACGUUCAGCGGGGAGGCGGUACCAACAGAGAAAGCACCGGCUAACUACGUGCCAGCAGCCGCGGUAAUAC